rnacentral:rRNA from 1 species
AUGGGUGCAACCAAAGUUCAGGAAGCUAAGGUUCACAGGGCGCACGUACGUACCACACUCACCAAGGAUGGGUGUGUCCAGAGGCUGGAGCCUCUUGCACUUCGCUCGGCAGGGGCCGGUUGGCCAAUCCAAGGUGAAAUGGUAGCGAGGUUGAAGGCUGCUGGCCUUCUGCCACUGGCCCGAAUGAUGGAAGGAAUUCCCAGGGAUUUCCUUGACAGGGAUCUUCUCAGCGCGCUAGUUGAUCGUUGGAAUCCAAGGACUCAUACAUUUCAGUUUCCAUGGGGAGAAAUGGGAGUGAGCCUCAAGGACGUCAGCAUGCUUCUAGGGCUACCAAUCAAGGGAGACCCCAUCGCUAAGCCAGCUGAUCCGAAAAACUGGGCGCAAGAUAUGGGCACGAGGUUUUGCAAGCACGUCCCAGAAUAUGACUCGGUGCUGAAUGUUUCAAAUACACCCAGCAGUGAGGCUAAGAAACCCACGGAGGAGCUGCGCGGGUUCUCAAAGAAACCGGCAAAGAGAAGAAAAAUAUCAGCGAAGCAGACUGAGCACCCACAGCUCAAGGAGUCUGUGCAGUUGGCCACAAAGAAAUCCACCAAGCUCAAGGAGCCCGAGGAGGAGGAGGAUUCCGCAAAGCUGCGUGGGCCCACAUUGGCAUGGUUGCGUAGCACGUAUGGGAAGCUUGUCAGGCUGAAGGAACUUACCGAGGAGCAGAGCCAGUGCGCCGUAGAGAUAUACGUGCUCUGGCUCUUUGGCUGGGUAAUGUUCACCAGCACCCAUGGUGACUGCGUCGAGCCUCGACUCAUCGAGUAUGCGAUGGAUAUUGCCUACUCAAAGAUAGAGGACUUACAAGUGUCUUUGUCCACUGAGAAAGGCUGUUGCUGA